rnacentral:rRNA from 1 species
AGUGAACGCUGGCGGUAGGCCUAACACAUGCAAGUCGAACGGCAGCACAGUAAGAGCUUGCUCUUACGGGUGGCGAGUGGCGGACGGGUGAGGAAUACAUCGGAAUCUACUUUUUCGUGGGGGAUAACGUAGGGAAACUUACGCUAAUACCGCAUACGACCUACGGGUGAAAGCAGGGGAUCUUCGGACCUUGCGCGAUUGAAUGAGCCGAUGUCGGAUUAGCUAGUUGGCGGGGUAAAGGCCCACCAAGGCGACGAUCCGUAGCUGGUCUGAGAGGAUGGUCAGCCACACUGGAACUGAGACACGGUCCAGACUCCUACGGGAGGCAGCAGUGGGGAAUAUUGGACAAUGGGCGCAAGCCUGAUCCAGCCAUACCGCGUGAGUGACGAAGGCCUUCGGGUUGUAAAGCCCUUUUGUUGGGAAAGAAAAGCAGCAGGUUAAUACCCCGCUGUUCUGACGGUACCCAAAGAAUAAGCACCGGCUAACUUCGUG